AUUGAACGCUGGCGGCUUGCCUAACACAUGCAAGUCGAACGGCAGCACGAUUUAGUUUACUAGAUUGGUGGCGAGUGGCGCACGGGUGAGUAAUGCGUAGGAAUAUACCUUAAAGUGGGGGACAACCUGGGGAAACUCAGGCUAAUACCGCAUGAGCUCUAAGGAGGAAAGCUGGGGACCAGAGAUGGCCUGGCGCUUUAAGAAUAGCCUACGUCCGAUUAGCUAGUUGGUGAGGUAAAGGCUUACCAAGGCUACGAUCGGUAGCUGGUCUGAGAGGAUGAUCAGCCACACUGGGACUGAGACACGGCCCAGACUCCUACGGGAGGCAGCAGUGGGGGAUUUUGGACAAUGGGGGAAACCCUGAUCCAGCCAUGCCGCGUGAGUGAAGAAGGCCUUCGGGUUGUAAAGCUCUUUCGGCCGGGACGAAAUCGUACCUUCCAACACAAGGUGCGGAUGACGGUACCGGCAGAAGAAGGACCGGCUAACUACGUGCCAGCCGCCGCAGUAA
rnacentral:rRNA from 1 species